ensembl:miRNA Mir7082 microRNA 7082
GAAGGUACGGGCAGGAGGAGGGGAGGCAAGGGCUGGGCAACCCUGGCUCUGGGAGGCCACUGACCUGGCCCCCCUUGCUGUCUGUCUCCAG